CCUUGGUCUCCCGAAAUGUUGUGAGUACAAGCGUGAGCCACCACACCUGGUCUUCUUUAGUUCUUUGAUCCUGUUUAUAACAGCUGCUUUGAAGUCUUUGCUAAAUCAGAAACCUGGAGACACGGAGAGAGAGUUUCUAUUCGCUGCUUUUUUAUGCUUUCAUGGAUGAGUUCCACUUUCAUGUUUCUUUGCAUGUAUCAUUUGUUUAAAGCUGGAUGUUUUUAGUAAUGUAGUAAUUUUGGAAUUGGAUCCGCGAAGAUGAUUGUUGUUGCUGCGUUUUUGAUUGUUCAUUUUUAAUUCCUUUCUUCGUUGGUAACUUGCCCAGGCUCAACCUGUGAAACCUGUCUCUGGUACGUAGGCGUUGAUGUCCCUCAUCAGUUUUUAAAUUUAUUGUUUCUAUUUUACGUCUGCUUCCCAGGGGUUGUCCCCUUGUCUACAUAUGUCAGCGGUCAGCCAAUAGCUGACAGAGGUUGAGCUGCAUGCCCUUGAGCCUCUGCUGAUGCACCUGUGUGAGGGUGGGGAGCGUCUUCAGAGGGGAGCCUGUUUUUGAGUCCGCCUAGGCCCUUACUUUCUCCUGUACCCCCAUGGUCGAUGAGGGAGUAGGCGUGAGCCUGUUCUUCUCUAUCUGUAUCCCCUUUCCCGCCACCCUCAGCCUCCUCUUGCUUUGUGCCCAGGUGCCAGGCCUGAGGGCCGCAUCCACCCCUCAUCUGCGCUCGGAUUCCUGAGGCUCUGCGGUGGGAAGAACAAGCAGCAGGAGGGGCGGAGGGCGCGCCUUCACUGCCAGCUUGCUUUGGACCCACGCCCCGGGCUUGGUCACUGCCUGACCACAGUUCCCACCAGGAAGAGACCCACCUUCCCUGGCCUCCGAAUAUUCUGUUUCUCUCUGGUCCCUUCUGGCCUAGGGUGGUGGGGACUUCCUGCUGUCGCUGGUCUCUGGGUCCUUAACAUCUGUCCUUUGUUGCUUAUCUCUGCCCCCAUCUCUGAGAGUAGCCCUUCCAGUCAGGCCUUUUCAUGUAAAUCGUCCUUCUCACUGGCUUGUUUCCUGCGGGGAUGCUGAGGACUCAGGGGUGGUCCCAGGUGUCGGCCCAGGCAGACAGGUCAGUGGUGAGAUCAUUUGCUAGGAGGAGAAAACGCAGGGGAAAGUGUGUUUGCUGGUGAAUAAUCAAGAGUUGUGCUUUGUAAAUGGUAAACCUGGACAUAGAAGUCAAAAAUUAAAUCAGCCAUUGAAGAUAUGAGGCUAGAGCUCGGGAAGGAGGCGCUGAUGACGGAAAAUCAGGGAAGCAUCUGUGUAGAUGGUGCCCCAAACCACAGACUAGAGGAGACCAACCCGGGAGAACGUGGGAAGAGAGAAGGGGCUCAGGACUGGGAGCUGGGGCAUUGCAGAACUAGAGGCCUGGAGGAAGACGAGGGUUCAGCAGAGGAGCCUGAGGUGGAACUGAGGGGAGGGCAAGGAUGGGAAAGAGUACGGGGUCCUCAAGUCCAAGUGAAAAAAAAGGUUCAAGAAGGAGGGAGUGGUCAGUCAGGGAAGCUGCCCCUGGGAAGGCCAGGAAGAGGGGGCCACCGGGUUCGGCAACACUGACCUCGCUGGUGACCUGGACAGGUGUGGUUUCAGAGGGAGCUGGGGACGGAAGCCUGAAUGAAGUGGACUCAGCAGAGAUGGGAGGUGAGGCCGUGCCCUGCUGAGGUGGGAGGUGAGGCCGUGCCCUGCUAAGGUAGGAGGUGAGGCCGUGCCCUGCAGAGAUGGGAGGCGAGGCCGUGCCCUGCUGAGAUGGGAGGUGAGGCCGUGCCCUGCAGAGAUGGGAGGUGAGGCCGUGCCCUGCUGAGAUGGGAGGUGAGGCCGUGCCCUGCUGAGAUGGGAGGUGAGGCCGUGCCCUGCUGAGGUGGGAGGUGAGGCCGUGCCCUGCUGAGGUGGGAGGUGAGGCCGUGCCCUGCCGAGGGCUUCGUUAUACAGGGAGGAUAACUGGAGGGAAUGUGAGGUCAGUGGAGGGUGUUAGUAUUUUACAUGGGAAAUAAUAGAUACUGAAAAGGGAAGAAAUUAUAUGCAAGAGAGAGGGAUUAAUUAUAGAAACCAAGACCUUGAGUCAGUGACAGGGUAGGGGAACCAGGGCAGCAGCAGAGGGUCGCUGGGCAGCGGGGGUCGCUCAUCAGCUGGAGGGGUCCAUGGAGCGACACCUGCCCCCACCUCACAGCUGGAGGGGUCCAUGGAGCCGACACCUGCCCCCACCUCACAGCUGGAGGGGUCCAUGGAGCCGACACCUGCCCCCACCUCACAGCUGGAGGGGUCCAUGGAGCCGACACCUGCCCCCCGCCUCACAGCUGGAGGGGACCAUGGGGCGACACCUGCCCCCACCUCACAGCUGGAGGGGACCAUGGGGCGACACCUGCCCCCACCUCACAGCUGGAGGGGACCGUGAAGCCAACACCUGCCCCCCGCCUCACAGCUGGAGGGGACCAUGGAGCUGACACCUGCCCCCACCUCACAGCUGGAGGGGACCACAGGGUGGACACCCCCCCACCUCAUAGGCCCGUUGGACGAUCACGUGUGGAAUAAUGCAAUGUGUUUGGGUUCGUGCCUGGCACAUCGUAAGUGUGAAUUAGUACUGUGUGGCUUUACUCUUUGGUUUUCUGAACAUUUUUAUUCUUGAAUAGAAUUCGGGCUUUAUCUUUGCCUGUAGCCAGAAGGCCUAUCUGACUACUUUUCCCUAGACCAAAACAACAAAAAACUACACUCCCAUGACAUCUCUCCAAACGGGAUUCUCUGUAAGUAGAAAAAGAUGACUGAGUUUGAAAAUACCAGUCGCUCCCCGGUUCUCAUUAUCAUAUUGUCAGAAGCAUCCUGUGACACCCACAAAGUUUAGCACGUAAUCCCAUGCACGGCAAGCCCAAAGCUGGCGGGCUGGGGCGGCCCGUGGUAGAGAAAGCUGUCACCUUUGGGAUUCCGCAGACAGCAGCCUUGGUGCCACUGGGGUAGAAGCAUCCGCGUCUCCGGCAUUCGGUGUCAGCAUCUACAGUUAGACCUUCCCAUCCUUAUGGGCUGGGCCCCUCUGCUGUCCUCGAGCUGCAUCCAACACCGGGGAAAUGAGUCCUGACGACCGAGGGACGUCACCAAGAGUGUCACCACCCACACCGAGCAGCCACAGGCUCCAUGUCCAGCCCCUCCUUCCCCCGGGAGGGUGAGCCCAGGAGGUGAGAGCAGAGAUCGGGGCCUGGAGGUGCGGCCUGGGAAGCCUGUUGUGGGUGCCGCCUCCCUGAGCCACAACCUGUCCUGGGGAUCGGUGGACGCUCCGUGGCUCUGCAGAGCUGCUUGUACCACCCUUGCUGGAGGAGGAGGUUCUCGCAGUUUGCUUCCGUUUGUGGAUGAGAGACAGGUGGGUUGGUUGGUUCUUCCCAUCAUGGCAUCACAGCCAUUCCACGGGAGGUGAUGGCAGCUGAUUGUUCUGAGUCUCUGCUAAGUGGAAUCACCCCAAGACCUCGAGUGCAUGGACCCACUGGGCUCUGGGCCCCGCAGAGACGUGCCCAGGCCUGGAUGUGCUGACUGCUGGGCUGUCCCACACAGCUGGAGCCAGGAGCCCACAGUGGGCAGCAGGACCUUGACUUCAGGCGGGCAGAGCCGGGCAUCUCCUGUCUCCUCCCUGCCCUGGCUGGGAUAGGUUUUUAGGAGUAACUUUGCUAGAGGGAAGAUUCUGAGACAUCUGCGAUCCUGAGCUGCUCCGGUGGGCACCUGCCAGAAGACAGGAGCCCAGGCUGCAGGAGUCGCUGGUGGAGGAGGGGUGAGGCGGCGCCCCUGCCUCUGUGGUUCUGCAUGGGGCAGGGCCCCUGCUGCUCCGGGCGGGGAAAGAAGGAUGUGCCAUGUUCACCUUGAUAUUUGGGUUUUUGAAGAAAACCUGUAAAAGCUGUAAAACCCGAACCAUGAGGACACCCCAGGGGCACACAGUUCUGGAGGCUGAAAAUCAAGAUCAGGAUGCUGGCGUCUGACAAGGGCUUUCUUGCUGCAUCCUCACGUGGCGGAAAGUGGAAGGGCAAGAGAGAGCGAACCCAUCCUGAAAACCCCAGAUUACAGAGGCACUAAUCCAUUUAUGUGGGUGGAGCUCCCAUGACCCAAACACCUCCAAAGGCCCCACCUCCUGACAAUGUUGCACUGGGGAUUACAUUUCCAACACAUGAAUCUGGGGAGACAGAUUCAGACCACAGCAGAUGUCAAGGCUGGUUCAAAGGACAAUGUGAAGAACAAAGGCAUGCUGAAAUGAAUUUGAUAAUAGAUGCAAACUUGGGUAACAUCCUACAGGACAAUAAGGUGUAAGUAAUACUUGGGAUCAUCUUUCCUUAGACAUGAGCAUCAGUUGCAUCUACAGUGAACAACACUGAUUACAUUGCCAUAGAGGAAGCUUUGUGUUGCUCUCAGAUAAGAAGCAUGCACACUGCUGUAUUCUCUACAUGAACUUCUAUUCUACAGUUGUAAAAUAGUUCAGUCAAUAGAAAGCCAACCACAGAGACACACCUAGUGGUUUGUUUUUGCCUAUUUUUAAGUUUUUAAUAUUUUUUAUAACAGAUAUAACAUUGAAUCCAUAGUGAAGUUAAUCACUUUUUAAUUACCCAUUUUUCUAAUAAUUAAAUCAACAAGGGAGUCUCCUUUGGGUACCAAUCAAUCUCUAACCUUUCUAAACUUCUUGUUUGAAAAAGAGAAAGGCAGAAGUGGGCCUCAAGCAUGACGCCUUCAACUGACUGUACAAGCUAGCUGCAGUUUGAUGAUACUGUUGAAUUUUCUUUAUUAUAUUGUUACCUUUUAUUAAUGGCAAUGGAUAUAUUAGUUUUCCAUUUUUGGUUGAGAUAUGAGGCUUCCUUUAAAACAUAUUUAAGUAAAAAAGAAAAGUGAGUCAAUGUGUUUAAUUAAACAGCCAAAAGUAUUCAAAUGAUGAAUGAUAUAGAUGGGAUGAAUAGAAAGUCAUAGAAAAUUUAUGGUGAUCACUGAAGGUUGAGAAAAACCCAAUCUGAUGAGCACUCUGCUCCAUGUCAGGUCCUGCCUGUUGUGCUUGUCUCCCAGACUGUCUUUUAACUCUCACCUUCUUACAAAUAGUUGAAUCUUAAUAGCUAUUAUUACCUUACAUUUAACAAAAUAGGCAUAUGCAUAUUUUUUCAUUU
rnacentral:lncRNA from 1 species